rnacentral:rRNA from 1 species
GAUGAACGCUAGCGGCAGGCCUAACACAUGCAAGUCGAGGGGUAACAUAGGAAAGCUUGCUUUUCUGAUGACGACCGGCGCACGGGUGCGUAACGCGUAUACAACCUACCUUUUAGCGGGGAAUAGCCCAGGGAAACUUGGAUUAAUGCCCCAUAGUAUAUAGACUUCUCCUGAAGUUUAUAUUAAACAUUUAUGGCUAUUAGAUGGGUAUGCGUCCUAUUAGUUAGUUGGUAAGGUAACGGCUUACCAAGGCAGCGAUAGGUAGGGGUCCUGAGAGGGAGACUCCCCACACUGGUACUGAGACACGGACCAGACUCCUACGGGAGGCAGCAGUGAGGAAUGUUGGACAAUGGGCGAGAGCCUGAUCCAGCCAUGCCGCGUGCAGGAAGACUCGCCCUAUGGGUUGUAAACUGUCUUUUACAGAGGAAGAACCCACCCCACGUGUGGGGGUUUGACGGUACUCUGCGAAUAAGGAUCGGCUAACUCCGUG